GAUGAACGCUGGCGGCGUGCCUAAUACAUGCAAGUCGAGCGAACAGACGAGGAGCUUGCUCCUCUGACGUUAGCGGCGGACAGGUGAGUAACACGUGGAUAACCUACCUAUAAGACUGGGAUAACUUCGGGAAACCGGAGCUAAUACCGGAUAAUAUAUUGAACCGCAUGGUUCAAUAGUGAAAGACGGUUUUGCUGUAACUUAUAGAUGGAUCCGCGCGGCAUUAGCUAGUUGGUAAGGUAACGGCUUACCAAGGCAACGAUGCGUAGCCGACCUGAGAGGGUGAUCGGCCACACUGGAACUGAGACACGGUCCAGACUCCUACGGGAGGCAGCAGUAGGGAAUCUUCCGCAAUGGGCGAAAGCCUGACGGAGCAACGCCGCGUGAGUGAUGAAGGUCUUCGGAUCGUAAAACUCUGUUAUUAGGGAAGAACAAAUGUGUAAGUAACUAUGCACGUCUUGACGGUACCUAAUCAGAAAGCCACGGCUAACUACGUG
rnacentral:rRNA from 1 species